GACAAGACGGAAAGACCCCAUGAACCUUUACUAUAGGCUUUUAUUGCACAUGAGUUUGUAUUGCGUAGGAUAGGUGGGAGGCUUUGAAGCGGCCGUUCUGGCGGUCGUGGAGCCAUCCUUGAAAUACCACCCUUUACCUAUUCGUGUGCUAACCCCGAUUCCCGUGAAGCCGGGCGGGGGACAGUGAGUGCUGGGUAGUUUGACUGGGGCGGUCUCCUCCGAAAGAGUAACGGAGGAGCGCAAAGGUUGGCUCAGCACGGAUGGAAACCGUGUUUCAGAGUGUAAGAGCACAAGCCAGCUUUACUGCGAGUCCGACAGGACGAGCAGUCUCGAAAGAGGGCUCUAGUGAUCCUGCGAUCCCGUGUGGAAGGGUCGUAGCUCAUCGGAUAAAAGGUACUCUGGGGAUAACAGGCUGAUCGCUCCCGAGCGUCCAUAGCGGCGGAGCGGUUUGGCACCUCGAUGUCGGCUCAUCGCAUCCUGGGGCUGAAGGCGGUCCCAAGGGUUAGGCUGUUCGCCUAUUAAAGCGGUACGCGAGCUGGGUUCAGACCGGCGUGAGCCAGGUCGGUCCCUAUCUGUUGUGGGCGUUGCAAACUUGAGAGGAGUCAACUUUAGUACGAGAGGAUUAGGUUGGACUGACCCCUGGUGAUCCUGUUGGGCUGCUAAGCCCAUCGCAGGGUAGCUACGUCGGGCAGGGAUAACC
rnacentral:rRNA from 1 species